GAUGAACGCUAGCGGCAGGCUUAAUACAUGCAAGUCGAGGGACAGCACAGGUAGCAAUACUGGGUGGUAACCGGCAAACGGGUGCGGAACACGUACACAACCUUCCUUUAAGUGGGGGAUAGCCCAGAGAAAUUUGGAUUAAUACCCCGUAAUAUAGUUGAAUGGCAUCAUUUGAUUAUUAUAGCUACGGCGCUUAAUGAUGGGUGUGCGGCUGAUUAGAUAGGUGGCGGGGUAACGGCCAACCAAGUCUACGAUCAGUAGCUGAUGUGAGAGCAUGAUCAGCCACACGGGCACUGAGACACGGGCCCGACUCCUACGGGAGUCAGCAGUAAGGAAUAUUGGUCAAUGGACGCAAGUCUGAACCAGCCAUGCCGCGUGAAGGAUUAAGGUCCUCUGGAUUGUAAACUUCUUUUAUUUGGGACGAAAAAGGGCCUUUCUAGGUCAACUGACGGUACCAGAUGAAUAAGCACCGGCUAACUCCGUGCCAGCAGCCGCCGUAAGAC
rnacentral:rRNA from 1 species